rnacentral:lncRNA from 1 species
UGAAUUUUAUAUUUUGUAAUAUAUCACAAAUUCAAAUUUGAACCAUAUAAAUGCUCUAUUAAUGUAGAGAGAGAAGGAGAAAGAUGGUUAAGGAUAGUGGGGAAGUGUAGGGUAUUUUUGAAAUAAAAGAAAAUAGUGGGGAGGUGUAAAAUAAUUUUGAAAUAAAUUAAAAUAGUGGGGAGGUGCAGAACCCACUUUGGGAGGUGGAGGGAGCAACACCCUUAGUAAGAUGUCAAGAAAUCCUGAGGCCCAUCUCUUUUGUUGGGCCAAAUGGCUUAUUAUGUCUUGAGGGGAGCAACCUAAAAAGCCCAUUGGGAUUGAUGCAUAACCUUCUGAUCUCCAACCUCUUCUGUGUAUAGGGCGUUGAUCCCUGCACCUCUACGUAUUUGACCCUCCACCUCCCCAUAUUUUUUAAUUUUUUUAUAUUACCAAAAUAAUCUUUUUUAAUUUGUUAUUUACUUUUUUUAACCUCUUUUAUUUAGCUAACCCUAGAUUUUUUACUUUCUUCUUUUCAAUUUCACUUUCUCCCUCACGGUAACACUGCACCCCCACCUCCAAACUUCACCAUUUUCCCUUUUCACUAUCCUUUUCACUUUUUUUAACUCCCAACUUGCAAUCCUCUUUGUUUGUGCAUUUCGGUGGUGCAACUUUUGGUGUGUGCGACCUGUGUGAACGGUGGUGAGAAUUUCAUAAUUAGGAAUUUUUCCUUUUACCUUUAUGAUUCAUCUUUCAAUUAAAGUCACCUUGUUAAGAAAGUGAAGAGAAUCUAUCAUAUCAUAUUAUUAAGAAAGUGAAUUUUAAAAUAAGGUUUACACUUAUAUUAUAAAUGAAUUUUAUCUCUAAUUAAUAAAUGAAGAGAAUCUAUGUCAUAUCGAAGUGAAUUUUAAAAUAAAGUUUACACUCAUUUAUAAAUUUUAAAUGAAUUUUAUCUCUAGUUAAUGUAAGACUUCUAUUAUAUUUUAAUAUUAUAAUUUUAUUUAAAAAAGAAAUUUCAAUUUUUUAUCACUAAUUCAAAGAAGAAAAAAAUACCACUUCC